rnacentral:misc_RNA from 1 species
GGCACAACUACGCCUUUCUCCACCAGGGCUUUCAAGUCUCGGCUGAUCGUGCGUAAGCCACAAUUGAAGAUCCGAAAAGCCAGAUCUUCUCCGGUGAGCAGCGCUCCUUGAUCCAAGGCCUCAUUCGCCAUCCGUUCGAUUUGAUACUGACGUAAGGCUGAGACACCAUGUUUGAGACGGUACUCAUGAUCCUCCUCACCC